rnacentral:rRNA from 1 species
AAAGAGGCAUUAUUUUCAUUCGAGGACGUUCCUUCCUCUUUGCCUCCUGCUGUCACUAACAUUUUGCAGGAGUUCGCUGACGUUUUUCCACAAGACGUGCCACCGGGAUUACCGCCUAUUCGAGGGAUUGAGCAUCAGAUUGACUUAAUUCCCGGUGCUUCACUGCCAAACCGUGCACCAUACCGUACCAAUCCAGAGGAGACGAAGGAGAUUAUGCGUCAAGUACAAGAGCUUCUCGACAAAGGUUAUAUACGCGAAUCCCUUAGUCCUUGUGCUGUUCCUAUUAUUCUAGUGCCGAAAAAGGAUGGUACAUCACGUAUGUGUGUUGAUUGUAGAGGCAUUAAUAAUAUUACUAUUCGUUAUCGUCAUCCUAUUCCUAGGCUAGAUGAUAUGCUUGAUGAAUUGAGUGGCUCUACAAUAUUCUCCAAAGUUCAUUUGCGUAGUGGCUACCAUCAAAUUCGUAUGAAAUUGGGAGAUGAAUGGAAAACAACAUUUAAAACUAAGUUUGGAUUAUAUGAGUGGUUAGUCAUGCCUUUUGGGUUAACUAAUGCACCUAGUACUUUCAUGAGACUAAUGAACGAAGUUUUACGUGCUUUCAUUGGACGAUUUGUGGUAGUCUAUUUUGAUGAUAUACUGAUUUAUAGCAGAUCUUUGGAAGAACAUUUGGAACAUUUACGUGCUGUUUUUAUUGCUCUACGUGAUGCACGUUUGUUUGGUAACCUUGGGAAGUGCACCUUUUGCACCGACCGAGUAUCUUUUCUUGGCUAUGUUGUUACUCCACAGGGAAUUGAAGUUGACAAAGCCAAGAUUGAAGCUAUUGAGAGUUGGCCGCAGCCCAAAACGGUCACACAAGUGAGGAGUUUUCUUGGCCUCGCUGGAUUCUAUAGGCGUUUUGUGAGAGAUUUCAGCACCAUUGCUGCACCUCUCAACGAGCUUACAAAGAAGGAUGUGCCUUUUGUUUGGGGUACCGCACAGGAAGAAGCCUUCACGGUAUUGAAAGAUAAGUUGACACAUGCUCCUUUACUCCAACUUCCUGAUUUUAAUAAGACUUUUGAGCUUGAAUGUGAUGCUAGUGGAAUUGGAUUAGGAGGUGUGUUAUUACAAGAUGGCAAACCUGUUGCAUACUUUUCUGAAAAAUUGAGUGGGCCUAGUCUGAAUUAUUCUACUUAUGAUAAAGAAUUAUAUGCUCGUGUUCGGACUUUAGAAACAUGGCAACAUUAUUUAUGGCCCAAAGAAUUUGUUAUACAUUCUGAUCAUGAAUCUUUGAAACAUAUUAAAAGUCAAGCUAAACUGAAUCGUAGACAUGCUAAAUGGGUUGAAUUCAUUGAGACUUUCCCUUAUGUCAUUAAACACAAGAAGGGAAAAGAAAAUGUUAUUGCUGAUGCAUUGUCUCGUCGCUAUACUAUGCUUUCACAACUUGACUUCAAAAUAUUUGGUUUAGAGACCAUCAAAGAUCAAUAUGUGCAUGAUGCUGAUUUUAAAGAUGUAAUGCAUAAUUGUAAAGAAGGAAGAAUGUGGAACAAGUUUGUUGUUAACGAUGGAUUUGUGUUUCGUGCUAACAAGCUAUGCAUUCCAGCUAGCUCCGCUCGUCUUUUGUUAUUGCAGGAGGCGCAUGGAGGAGGAUUAAUGGGACACUUUGGCGUGAAGAAGACGGAGGACGUACUUGCUACACAUUUCUUUUGGCCAAAGAUGAGACGGGAUGUUGAGCGUUUUAUUGCUCGCUGCACUACAUGUCAAAAAGCUAAGUCACGACUCAAUCCUCAUGGUUUAUAUAUGCCUUUGCCUGUACCUAGUGUUCCUUGGGAGGAUAUAUCUAUGGACUUUGUUUUAGGUUUACCUCGAACAAAGAAGGGGAGGGAUAGCAUAUUUGUUGUCGUGGAUAGAUUCUCGAAAAUGGCACACUUUAUACCAUGUCAUAAAAGCGAUGAUGCUGUUAAUGUUGCUGAUUUGUUCUUUCGUGAAAUUAUUCGCUUGCAUGGUGUGCCCAAUACUAUUGUUUCAGAUCGUGAUACUAAAUUUCUUAGCCACUUUUGGAGAUGUUUAUGGGCUAAGUUGGGGACUAAACUGCUUUUUAGUACUACUUGUCACCCCCAAACUGAUGGACAAACUGAAGUAGUCAAUAGAAUGUUGUCUACUAUGCUUAGGGCUGUUUUGAAGAAUAAUAAGAAAAUGUGGGAGGAAUGCUUGCCUCAUAUUGAAUUUGCUUAUAAUCGUUCAUUGCAUUCUACUACUAAGAUGUGCCCUUUUGAAGUUGUGUAUGGUUUCCUACCUCGUGCACCUAUUGAUUUGUUGCCUCUUCCAUCUUCGGAGAAGGUUAAUUUUGAUGCUAAACAACGUGCUGAAUUGAUUUUAAAAAUGCAUGAGUUAACUAAGGAAAACAUUGAGCGUAUGAAUGCUAAAUAUAAACUUGCUGGAGAUAAGGGUAGAAAACAUGUUGUGUUUGCACCUGGAGAUCUUGUUUGGUUACAUUUGCGUAAGGAUAGAUUUCCUGAUUUACGCAAAUCAAAGCUAAUGCCACGUGCUGAUGGUCCCUUUAAGGUGUUAGAGAAAAUAAAUGAUAAUGCAUAUAAACUUGAGCUGCCUGCAGAUUUUGGGGUUAGUCCCACUUUUAACAUUGCAGAUUUGAAGCCUUAUUUGGGAGAGGAAGAU